rnacentral:rRNA from 1 species
CUGGGGCUGGAGAAGGUCCCAAGGGUUGGGCUGUUCGCCCAUUCAAGUGGCACGUGAGCUGGGUUCAGAACGUCGCAAGACAGUUCGGUCCCUAUCUGUUGUGGGCGCAGGAAGAUUGCAGAGACCUGACACUAGUACGAGAGGACCGUGUUGGACGAACCGCUUGUGUAUCGGUUGUGCCGCCAGGUGCAGCGCCGAGUAGCAACGUUCGGCCGGGAUAAGCGCUGAAAGCAUCUAAGCGCGAAGCCUACUCUAAGAUGAAUCUUCCGAUUAAGGGUCGUAGAAGACGACUACGUCGAUAGGCGGCAGGUGAAAGCGUGGUGACAUGUUGAGCCGAGCCGUACUAAUAACCCGUAAGCUUCCUUUUU